UACGUAGGGCGCGAGCGUUGUCCGGAUUUAUUGGGCGUAAAGAGCUCGUAGGCGGCUUGUCGCGUCCACCGUGAAAACUUGUGGCUCAACUACAAGCUGGCGGUCGAUACGGGCAGGCUGGAGUUCGGUAGGGGAGACUGGAAUUCCUGGUGUAGCGGUGAAAUGCGCAGAUAUCAGGAGGAACACCGGUGGCGAAGGCGGGUCUCUGGGACGAUACUGACGCUGAGGAGCGAAAGCGUGGGGAGCGAACAGG
rnacentral:rRNA from 1 species